UGUUUCUCGGCGCGCAAAGCUAUAAAUAAUGGCACAGAUCAUUAAACCCCGAGAGCAGGCCCAGCCGCCCCGCAAACAAGAUGAAGUGCAAACCACCACGUGAAAGAGAGAGCGGGAGGUACAAGGGAGAGACCCAGGCCCAGGGCCAUUAGGCCCCAGCCUGCACCCCUCAACCCAGGCCCAGUGAACUUGGGCCUCCAAGGCAUUCCCAGCAGAAUCUGGUGUGUCUACAUACAACCUGGAGCCCCUUCACUUGGGAAUGGGCUGGAAGGAUCAGAGAUGACCUACCAUCCAAGACCCACCCAUGAUAGAACCAGAACAAAUAAAGAAGUGGGGUGAGAAAUGUUCCUGGGAAGAAAAGCCAAGAAAAGUCAAGAAUGUGCAGCUACUAAAGAGGAACCUCAGACUCCUAACAUAAAAAGAAAAGGAACCAAAUAGCAGCAAAAAAAAAAAAAAAACCCUCCCUAGCCAGAAAUGGUGGUGGUAUUCACCAGAAGUCUUAGCAUUUUGGAGAUGGAACCUGGAGGAUCAGGAGUUAAACGUCAUUCCUGGAUACAUGAGUUCCAGGAUAGCCUAGGCUACAUGAGAUUCUGUUUUGAAUAAUAAAUAAGUGUCCCCCUUACCUGUUCCCAGGACCAAUUCCUUGCCAAGCAUCAAAAGCAUGAUCAGACAAGGCCAGCGAGAUGGCUCAGUGGGUAAAGGUGCUAAGAUCCCUGGUACAUAUACAUAUGUGUAUACACACAUAAGCAAAAUGAUAAAGAAGUUUUAAAGAUG
rnacentral:lncRNA from 1 species